rnacentral:rRNA from 1 species
AACGAACGCUGGCGGCAUGCUUAACACAUGCAAGUCGAACGGAUAGCUUGCUAUCAGUGGCGCACGGGUGAGUAACACGUGGGAACCUACCUUUUAGUUUGGGAUAACUUUGGGAAACUAAGGCUAAUACCGGAUACGCUUUGCAGCUUGGCGCUGUAAAGGAAAGAUUUAUCGCUAAAAAGAUGGGCCCGCGGUGGAUUAGCUUGUUGGUGGGGUAAAGGCUUACCAAGGCAACGAUCCAUAGCUGGUCUGAGAGGAUGAUCAGCCACACUGGGACUGAGAUACGGCCAGACUCCUACGGGAGGCAGCAGUGGGGAAUAUUGGACAAUGGGCGAAAGCCUGAUCCAGCAAUGCCGCGUGAGUGAAGAAGGUCUUCGGAUUGUAAAGCUCUUUCACGGGUGAAGAUAAUGACGGUAACCCGAGAAGAAGCCCCGGCUAACUCGUG